rnacentral:tRNA from 1 species
AAGAUUUUAAGUUAAAAAAACUAAUAACCUUCAAAGUUAUAAUUAAUAUUAAAAUAAUUAAAUCUUA